rnacentral:rRNA from 1 species
CCUACGGGAGGCUGCAGUGAGGAAUAUUGGUCAAUGGGCGAGAGCCUGAACCAGCCAAGUCGCGUGAAGGAUGACGGCCCUACGGGUUGUAAACUUCUUUUGUCAGGGAGCAAUUGGGUCCACGCGUGGGCUUAGCGAGAGUACCUGAAGAAAAAGCAUCGGCUAACUCCGUGCCAGCAGCCGCGGUAAUACGGAGGAUGCGAGCGUUAUCCGGAUUUAUUGGGUUUAAAGGGUGCGCAGGCGGCGAGUUAAGUCAGCGGUAAAAUUUCGGGGCUCAACCCCGACAAGCCGUUGAAACUGGUCUUCUUGAGUGAGCGAGAAGUAUGCGGAAUGCGUGGUGUAGCGGUGUAAUGCAUAGAUAUCACGCAGAACUCCGAUUGCGAAGGCAGCAUACCGGCGCUCAACUGACGCUGAGGCACGAAAGCGUGGGGAUCGAACAGGAUUAGAUACCCUUGUAGUC